GGAUAUUCAUAGGCAUCUACUGCCCAUUGGGAAUGGUUCCUGACUCACACUAACUCCCAAACCCAGCCCAGGAAUUGUUUGGGAAAGUGCUAGCUGGCAUGCUUUUAGCCUGUGCCAAGGUUCUCUAAACAUAAUUCAUCUUUGAAGAGAAGAGCAUAGAUAAUCUUCACUUAAGAGCAGAGACAAUGCACUAGCCAUUCAAGUCAAAGCAGAGGCUUGGAUCCUUCCUCAAGCUCUGCCACACUUAAACACCACAGAGAAGUCAGAGCUGUAAGAACUGCCUCAUAUUAAACAACAUCAGUUUAGAUCACUGUAUUUGAAGAAAGUUUUGCACAACUGGAAAAAAUCUGCAGAGGACAAAUGAGAAUAAUCUCCUGGAAGACAUGACCCACCUAUCAACUUUGAGUGAAGCUGGG